rnacentral:rRNA from 1 species
AUGGCGCGGGAGAGGCGGGCGAUACGGCGGAUAGAGAGCGCGGCGGCGCGGCAGGUGACCUUCUCCAAGCGGAGGCGCGGGCUGUUCAAGAAGGCCGAGGAGCUCGCCGUGCUCUGCGACGCCGACGUCGCGCUCGUCGUCUUCUCCUCCACCGGCAAGCUCUCCCAGUUCGCCAGCUCCAGUAUGAACGAGAUCAUUGACAAGUAUAGUACUCAUUCAAAGAACCUGGGGAAAUCUGAUCAGCAGCCGGCUAUUGACUUAAAUUUAGAGCACUGCAAGUAUGACAGUUUGAAUGAACAACUCGCAGAAGCAAGUCUUCGACUUAGACACAUGAGAGGUGAGGAACUUGACGGACUGAGUGUCGGUGAGUUGCAGCAGAUGGAAAAGAAUCUCGAAACAGGAUUGCAGAGGGUGCUUUGUACAAAGGACCGGCAAUUCAUGCAACAAAUCAGUGACCUCCAACAAAAGGGAACGCAGCUGGCAGAGGAAAAUAUGCGCUUGAAAAACCAAAUGCAUGAGGUGCCAACUGUUAGCACGGUGGCCGUUGCCGAAGCUGAAAAUGUUGUCCCUGAAGAUGCUCAUUCAUCUGACUCUGUGAUGACGGCAGUACAUUCGGGAAGCUCGCAGGACAAUGAUGACGGUUCUGAUAUAUCCCUGAAACUAGCGUUACCUUGGAAGUAA